UAGGGUAUCUUCGGCAAUGGGGGCAACCCUGACCGAGCAACGCCGCGUGAGUGAAGAAGGUUUUCGGAUCGUAAAGCUCUGUUGUAAGAGAAGAACGUGUGUGAGAGUGGAAAGUUCACACAGUGACGGUAACUUACCAGAAAGGGACGGCUAACUACGUGCCAGCAGCCGCGGUAAUACGUAGGUCCCGAGCGUUGUCCGGAUUUAUUGGGCGUAAAGCGAGCGCAGGCGGUUUAAUAAGUCUGAAGUUAAAGGCAGUGGCUUAACCAUUGUUCGAUUUGGAAACUGUUAAACUUGAGUGCAGAAGGGGAGGGUGGAAUUCCAUGUGUAGCGGUGAAAUGCGUAGAUAUAUGGAGGAACACCGGUGGCGAAAGCGGCUCUCUGGUCUGUAACUGACGCUGAGGCUCGAAAGCGUGGGGAGCAAACAGG
rnacentral:rRNA from 1 species